UAGGGAAUCUUCCACAAUGGGGCGAAAGCCUGAUGGAGCAACGCCGCGUGUGUGAUGAAGGCUUUCGGUCGUAAAGCACUGUUGUAUGGGAAGGACAGCUAGAAUAGGAAAUGAUUUUAGUUUGACGGUACCAUACCAGAAAGGGACGGCUAAAUACGUGCCAA
rnacentral:rRNA from 1 species